rnacentral:rRNA from 1 species
GACGAACGCUGGCGGCGUGCUUAACACAUGCAAGUCGAACGGAAAGGCCCUGCUUUUGUGGGGUGCUCGAGUGGCGAACGGGUGAGUAACACGUGAGUAACCUGCCCUUGACUUUGGGAUAACUUCAGGGAACUGGGGCUAAUACCGGAUAGGAGCUCCUGCUGCAUGGUGGGGGUUGGAAAGUUUCGGCGGUUGGGGAUGGACUCGCGGCUUAUCAGCUUGUUGGUGGGGUAGUGGCUUACCAAGGCUUUGACGGGUAGCCGGCCUGAGAGGGUGACCGGCCACAUUGGGACUGAGAUACGGCCCAGACUCCUACGGGAGGCAGCAGUGGGGAAUAUUGCACAAUGGGCGGAAGCCUGAUGCAGCAACGCCGCGUGCGGGAUGACGGCCUUCGGGUUGUAAACCGCUUUCGCCUGUGACGAAGCGUGAGUGACGGUAAUGGGUAAAGAAGCACCGGCUAACUACGUGCCAGCAGCCGCGGUGAUACGUAGGGUGCGAGCGUUGUCCGGAUUUAUUGGGCGUAAAGGGCUCGUAGGUGGUUGAUCGCGUCGGAAGUGUAAUCUUGGGGCUUAACCCUGAGCGUGCUUUCGAUACGGGUUGACUUGAGGAAGGUAGGGGAGAAUGGAAUUCCUGGUGGAGCGGUGGAAUGCGCAGAUAUCAGGAGGAACACCAGUGGCGAAGGCGGUUCUCUGGGCCUUUCCUGACGCUGAGGAGCGAAAGCGUGGGGAGCGAACAGGCUUAGAUACCCUGGUAGUCCACGCUGUAAACGGUGGGUACUAGGUGUGGGGUCCAUUCCACGGGUUCCGUGCCGUAGCUAACGCUCUAAGUACCCCGCCUGGGGAGUACGGCCGCAAGGCUAAAACUCAAAGGAAUUGACGGGGCCCCGCACAAGCGGCGGAGCAUGCGGAUUAAUUCGAUGCAACGCGUAGAACCUUACCUGGGUUUGACAUGGAUCGGGAGUGCUCAGAGAUGGGUGUGCCUCUUUUGGGGUCGGUUCACAGGUGGUGCAUGGCUGUCGUCAGCUCGUGUCGUGAGAUGUUGGGUUAAGUCCCGCAACGAGCGCAACCCUUGUUCACUGUUGCCAGCACGUUAUGGUGGGGACUCAGUGGAGACCGCCGGGGUCAACUCGGAGGAAGGUGGGGAUGACGUCAAGUCAUCAUGCCCCUUAUGUCCAGGGCUUCACGCAUGCUACAAUGGCUGGUACAGAGAGUGGCGAGCCUGUGAGGGUGAGCGAAUCUCGGAAAGCCGGUCUCAGUUCGGAUUGGGGUCUGCAACUCGACCUCAUGAAGUCGGAGUCGCUAGUAAUCGCAGAUCAGCAACGCUGCGGUGAAUACGUUCCCGGG